UUAAGUGUUCUUGCAUAGCAAGACCACUUAAUGUUAUCUCACAUUUAAUAAUAAUUUAUAUGUGAGAUAACAUUAAGUGGUCUUGCUAUGCAAGAACACUUAAUAAUAAUU